GCGGACGUAGUCCAAUGGUCAGGGCCUCAGCCUUCCAAGCUGAAGAUGCGGGUUCGAUUCCCGUCGUCCGCU
rnacentral:tRNA from 2 species